rnacentral:ncRNA from 1 species
GGUCAAGCUAUAAAGAGCGCAAGGGGAAUGCCUUGGCAUCAGGAGCCGACGAAGGACGUGACAAGCUGCGAUAAGCUUCGGGGAGGAGCAAAUAUCCUGUGAUCCGGAGAUUUCCGAAUGGGGAAACCCACUGGAGCAAUACUCCAGUAACGUGCAUUGAACAAAAUAGGUGUACGUGGGGAACCGCCUGAACUGAAACAUCUAAGUAGGGCGAGGAA